UCCUACACAGAGCUCACAUCCGGUUCCGGGGCGCGCCACGGUGUCAGCUUGCAGAGCCCUGGGAAUCCAGUCCUUGGGUGAGGCCACGAUCUGAGAAGCUGACUUCUGAGCUGCUCCCUCCUCAGCAUGGUGCCUAGACUCACUCCCUAGUCUUUCGGAGCUGGAGGGGAGUUAGGGAUGCAGCUCCUCGGCGCUCCAGCCUUUGUCGGGGCAGCAAUUUAUCGUGUCCUUCUACAAACAUCUGACAUCGCUGACAUGGCGCUGAGCAGCGGCUGGCUUUCCGCACCUCCAGCUACAGGAUGUGAGCUGGAAUGCGAUCCUGACGCUGGGACCAGAGCUGCUGACUCAGAGCGGCCUAUGCAUGCUGAUGGACAGCAACAACUGGCUCUGCAACACAGGCUUGCUGCUCAUUCUCCUGGCUCACUCACCACUCUGUCCAGAAUGCUCUUUGCCUUGGGGCUCAACCUCACACCGUUCCACAUGUCAGAGUCUGACACAGAAGAUGAAGGAGUUAUGUUGCACACAGAAUGAAGAAUGUUCUUUGUAGUUAUCAGAAGUGGGUGUUGAAAAGUACUAGAACUAUGCAAAGAUGAUUAAAAAAGAAAAUGGACCUUGAAGAUUGAUUAGUGGAAAGUGUAGUGGUUUCAUCUUGAAUGUUCAUGUAAGAGGUGCAAUGUUGUGAAAGGUUUUACAUUUCAUUUAUCCAUUCUGCAUGACUGAGUCCAGUUCCUUGUUUAUAUUUCUGAGUAUACUUUAUUCUGAAUGGAAAUUCAAAUCUCACCUGGUUGGUCACCACUUUCACUUAAGUCUUUGAUGAAAAGUUCGCAGCAUGGUACACUCAGAGGGGCAGUUAUAAUCAGCCUAGCAGUAGUGUCAUCUGGGACAAUUGGUUUGACUAAAGCCAGACAACUUGACAGUUGUACUGCCUGAGUUGUUUUGCUUUGGCUGGAAACUGUGCCAUGAAUAGAAUGAGCCUUCUUGUGUCUUCUUGGGUUUCAGCCUCUGACUAAUUAACUGGUAUAUUUAAGACUAUCACAUUUAAAUGGAAUAUCUAAGCUUCAGCUCUGGUUUUGUGUGAUUGUUAUAAUAUUAUGCAUUCUAGUUGUGAUGUGUUUCAGUUUAUUAAUCCUAGCAAUGAUACGGAAGCUUAUUCUAAAAAUGUUUUUACAGCAACCCACAACCUGACACAAUGCAAAAACUUCAAAUAGGUAACAUGACAUUUGAAGGUUGUCAGAAGUAUAGCUCAUUAUAUCUACUCUCAACAGAAUUAUUCACAAAUUUGGUUUAAGCAUUGUUCACUAAGAAACAAUUCUGAUAAAACUGGAAUGAAUACAUUAAAUUUCUGUAUCCUUAAGGUGUAAGAGGAAAAUAGUAGCUCAGAUUAUUGUUAUUGAAGUUUAUUAAAUUUUACUCAUUGAUUACGCAAUGAAAAUUUAUGUUAAAAUUAUAAUUUGGCAUUAGAAAAUAUUUAACUGUCACUACGAUGAUUACAGUACCACCUGUAACAGCAUGAAGGCUGGUUGCUAUGUACAAAAGGUAGUUUUAGACUGAAUUAGGUCAUGAGGUGAGCUCUUAAAGGGUUCUUAGGAAGAAUUUAGUUGUAAGCUGAGGAUUUUUUCAUGUUAGGUUUCUUAUAAAUAUUAUGUUUAUUUUCAGUAGUUUAUAUUAGUAGACUAUAGGGUAAUUCAGGGUCUUUGUAUUUUGUGUUACAUCAUGAAACAAGAGAGUUUCAUGACUGCAGUUAUGAAACGCUGCUAUAGUGAGUCCCCUUACCUUUUCCUCAGAAUAGGGUAGUAAGUUUGAUUUUUAUCUUUUGCAUUUAGAAAUUUUAUUCAUCUGUUUAAAGAAGUUAUGUUUCUACUACUAGUGUAUUUUCUUCAUACUGGUCAUAAAGUCUUUUUUUCCCAGCCAAUGAGCUUGUAAGCUGCCUACUCCAUGAUUGGGAAAGGCACAGACUGCGGUUGUACCCACGUCAAACUGUAAAUAUUGUGUAAUUAGAUGACUUUAGUUAAGCAACAUAGAAUGUUUUCAUGGAAAACAUUCAGAAUGAUGGGGCCAUAUUCUCCUGGAUUAAAUCCUGUACUUUCUUCAUUGAAAAUUACCUUGACCUAAGUAAUAUAGUGAGUAGCCUUUUAGGAAUUACUUGUAAAUAGAGCAUCUAACCAUACAUACCCUUUCCUAAUGAUCUCUUGUAAUCAUGCUUUUUACAUUAAUGGGAGGCCAAAGUCAUGAUCCAUCUAUUUGCCAAAAGACAGAAUAAUUUUCCUUGAUAGAAAAAUCUGAAUGGGAAGUAAUCUAAGAAAAGCUGCUUUGUAACAUUGGACUAAAUGAGAGAAAGUUGUACAGGGUUGUGAAUACCUGCAUACCAACACAAGGGAGGUAGAGGCAGAAGAUCAGGUGUUCAGUGUUAGCUUUGGCAUCAUACAUAUUACACGUGAGGCCAUCCUGGACUAUUUACAUAAAAACUUGUCUCUAAGUGGGGAUGCGUUUGGGCGGGUUGGAUUUUAAAUGUCAAAUAUGUCUCCUUUGUAUUGUAUACUAAAACAAAACUUCCUCUGAAUCUGAAAGACAAACUACAAUUAGAUUGCAUGACAGUUGAUGGUAGUCAGAAUUAGAGCUCGUUAUGUUCAUUCACAGUACCAUAGUUCACAAUGUUGGUUUAACCAUUGAGCACUAACAUGGAAGUAGUGAUAAAACAGGAAUGACAACAUUAAAAUGUUGUUUCCUUUAGGUGUACGAGAAAAAUAGUAGCCCACAUUAACGUCAUUGGAGAUUAACAAAUAUUACUAAUUGAUUAUGAAAUAAAUCUAAUAUUAAAAUUAAUUUGGCAUUGCAAAAUAUUUAACUCUCACUACUAAUGAUUAAAUAACUAAUCUGUAAUAACAUGAUGGCUGGUUGGUAAGUUCUAAAGCUAGCUGCAGAAUGAAUUAGUCAUCAGGUGGCCUCUUAAAGGAUGCUUUGGUAGAAUCCAAUUGUGUGCUGAGGAUAUUUGCAUGUUAGGUUUCUUGUAAAUAUUAUUUUACUUUAGUAGAUUAUAUUAGUAGACUAUAGGUAUUUUAGGGUUUUGUUUGUGUUUGUGUUACAUCAUGAAACAGAGAGUUUCAUGACUGCAGUUGUGAAACGCUGCUAUAGUGAGUCCCCUUACCUUUUCCUCAUAAUAGUAUAGUAAGAUCAUUAUGUUUCUUAUGUAGAGAGUUUAUUUCUGUGUUUAUAGAAGUGAUGUUUCUACUAUUAACAUAAUAUUAUUGUGGUAGUUAUAAAGUCUUUCUUUUUUUCACCCAGUGAGCGACUAUAGCUGCAUACUCCAAGAUUAGGAAAGACACAGAUAUCUUGGGCAGUACCCAAGUGUCAAACUGUAAAUAUUUUGUAAUUAGAUGACUUUAGUUAAGCAACGUAGAAUGUUUUCAUGGAAAACAUUCAGAAUGAUGGGGCCGUUUUCUCCUGGAUUAACUCCUGUUCUUUCUUUAUUGAUAAUUACCUUGACCUAAGUAAUAAAGUGAGUAGCCUUUUAGGAAUUACUUGUAAAUAGAGAAUCUAACCGUACAUACCCUUUCCCGCCUCCUAGAAAGGAGGAGUACUCUUUCAUCUUCCAUAAAUGUAAAUUUUUCUGCCUGUGGCAAUAUACAUGUAUCCUAUUUUGUUUUCUUUUAAAAAAAUCAUUAUUGUGGCUUUUUAAGCUUACUCUUUAAGUAUGUGAAUAGGUUGCUAAAUAGUGUGCCAAAUCAGUUUUUUUUUUUAGCUGAUAUAGGGAUUAUAGAGAUAGAUGUAUGUGUUGUACAUGCUGAGCAAGCUACAGUCCACUUCUGGCACAGACAGAUUUUAGAGAAUUUUUCUUUGGUAGUUUUACCUUUUUUGUUGUUUUUGUUUUUACUUUUUUACCUAUGUUAAGCCUUACUGUUUACAAAAGCUGCCAACUUUUCCCUUUUUAAGAAACUGAUUAUAGAUAUUAACUUGGUGUGAUAAGAAUUUGUCAUCUAGAAAUAUGAUCAUGUUCUGAAGUCAGCAGAAUAUAUUUAAAGCUAGUCUGUCUUACUAGUUAUGAAUCCCUUGUUUAUCCAGCUAAUGGACUAUUAAGAGUUUCAGAAUCAGCAGGGGUUAAUCUUCUUAAUAUGGCUAUUUGAUUUUUCUGAGACAGGGCAAGGCUAGCCUUGAACUCAACGUGUGGUUAACUCAGGCUUUUUGUAAUGUUCUUACCUUGGGUUGCCAGCUGCUGUAAUCACAUGUGUAAACCAUGAGCCCAGUUGAGGAUUUUACUUAGAACUGUUCCAAAAGUUCCUCCUGUUCUAAAGAUCUUGAUGUGUAAAUUUUUUGUUGCCAAUACUAAAAAGAAAUUAUUGUAAAUUUACUCCAAAUAUGAGUAAUUUGUGGUGAUAUAAAUAAAAAUAAAGGCUACUCUCAAUAGUGUAGCACAGUACUGAAGACUAGUUCUAACAGACACUGGAACUACUGGGUUUCAAUGAAGAUUAGAGAAGAUGCUGUUUGCUGGAAUGUUAAAAAAAAUCUUUAAAAGCAGCAAAGGUUAGGGAAAGAAGUCAUAAAGCCAUGUAGAGUAAUAAGAAAUUGUUCUUAAAUUGAUUCACCAAGUAUCCUUCUGUUAUUAUCUAAAUAACUUAUCACUAGUUUAUUACUGCUGUUGUUAUAAUCGUGUCCACCCUGCUUUUCCCUUAGUCCCUGGGAAGCAGAGCCAACAAGUUGUAGCUUCUUUCAGUCUUGCUCUUCUCAGAGUUCCUAUUGGAGAGUAGUUAUUUUGUACCUGGGUUAUAAUACAGCAGCUAACCUUGGUGAUUGUGUACAUUUUGGUUGCCUUUUUUAAAACCUGCAAAUCAAGUAUUUACUAGUUGCUAUUUACAUAAAAACAAUUUUUUCUUUAAGUUUCCAUGUGAGUGAUUGUAGAUAUAAAUUUGUCAGUAAAGUUACAUAUGUAAAAUCAUUUAGCUUCAUUAUUUUUAAAGUGCCUAUUUUUACCUAAAUGUAGAGAUUUUAUUAUAUUGUUAUCUAUUUAGUCCAAAAUACUGAGUUUUUAAAUUAGACUAGGCAUAUUUGGUGAAGGGUACGGUAUAAGCUUUAGGCAGUGUGACUUGUAGUGCAUAGUUUUGUUUCUUUGCUUAGAAAGAAAUGUUGUGUUAGCCCUCACUGCCUGUAUAUGAAUCAUUUGAUGUUAUAUAACAUUAAUUCAGUAGCAUGCAGUUUUAUAUUUUCAUCAUAAUAUGAUCUUAAGACUAACAUUUAAACCAAAAUUUGGGAAGGGAAUCAUGUUAUAUGAUAAAGUGUCAGUGGUGGCUAUGUGAUCUUCUACCUUGACUUGAAGGAAAAGAUUGUCUAAGGACAAGGCCCACAACAAGGCUCUUCGUGUGUGUAGGGCUUCUGGGGAGUGACUCUUACCUAUAUUGUACCAGAAGAUCAGAGCCCUCUGGAAGCAAAGGACAAGCACCACAACCACCACCACCCUGCCUCCAGUGUAAAGGAAUAUCUUUCACAUAAUACUUUAUUUAAAUGUUUAUGCUACCACAAAGGACACCAAAAGUUCCACUGCUGUCAUAUUUAUGUAUGCUUCUAGGUUUUAUUCAGCAUUAGUCAACCUCAAUAAUUGAUAUAAUACUCAAUCUCAUGUGUGUGUUAUGUGUGUAUUAGAUAUAGUAACUUAGUGUAGUGAAGUUUGUUUACUUGCAAAAAAAACUUUGUAUUCACCAAAAUAUAUGCUAUUAUUUUGAUCAUGAAUAAAUUGAAUAAAAUUGUAUUAUUCAAAACUCCUGCUGGGGAAAGAAACUGGAAUGAGUUUGGCAUUGCUAUUGGUGGAAGUUUGUGUUCAGCCCUGUCCCAGUGCCCUACAGUCCCAAAUAAACAGACAAGCUUAUAUUAGUU